rnacentral:rRNA from 1 species
AAGAAAGCUUGCUUUCUUUGCUGGCGACCGGCGCACGGGUGAGUAACACGUAUCCAACCUACCCUUUACUCGGGGAUAGCCUUUCGAAAGAAAGAUUAAUACCCGAUAGCAUAAUGAUUCCGCAUGGUUUCAUUAUUAAAGGAUUCCGGUAAAGGAUGGGGAUGCGUUCCAUUAGGUUGUUGGUGGGGUAACGGCCCACCAAGCCUUCGAUGGAUAGGGGGUUCUGAGAGGAAGGUCCCCCCACAUUGGAACUGAGACACGGUCCAAACUCCUACGGGAGGCAGCAUG